UUCCUUGGAUGUGGUAGCCGU
rnacentral:siRNA from 1 species